rnacentral:lncRNA from 1 species
UUUACAAGGUGUCCUAUUCUAGACUAAUCCUUGGGUCUGUGAUCCGGCCCCUCUUCACACAGUCCGGUUAAUCGCAGGAUGUGCCUCCAACUGGCCAGGGUCCGAGCGCUCCCCACCUGGUCUGACAAAGUGCCAAGCAAGCCAAUCCAAGUUGCACCUUACCUUCCAAGAAUAAUCCUUGCCUUCCAAGUUCCCACUUGCCUUCCAAGAAUAAAUCCUUGCCUUCCAAAUGUUCCCUUGUCUUCCAAGAAUAAAUCCUUGCCUUCCAAGAGUCCCAUGUUUCGAACUCACGACCUCUGCUCUGCCAGGUUUGACAGCGUCCGUCCUUUGCCAGUGGAGAAGUGCCCUGAGGGGCAACAACACUUCGUAUUUAUUCAUAGGAAAUGAUGACAGACAACACUUCGUAUUUAUUUCGUCACGUCAACUCUGUCUCUUUCCUAUCAAAUUUCCGUGGGUAACUUAAUUCAUCUGUAAGGGUGAUAAUGUCUGAAAAUAUUCAACUUUUUCUAACUAUUAUUAUUAAUUAUUUUUGUUUUGAGAUGACAAGAUAAUUUUACAGUUGUUGUCACGCAUGUUUCAGUAAUGAAUGCUCAAGAUAUAUAUACCCCA